rnacentral:rRNA from 1 species
GACGAACGCUGGCGGCGUGCUUAACACAUGCAAGUCGAACGGAAAGGCCCUUCGGGGGUACUCGAGUGGCGAACGGGUGAGUAACACGUGGGUGAUCUGCCCUGCACUUUGGGAUAAGCCUGGGAAACUGGGUCUAAUACCGGAUAGGACUACGCGAUGCAUGUCGUGUGGUGGAAAGCUUUUGCGGUGUGGGAUGGGCCCGCGGCCUAUCAGCUUGUUGGUGGGGUGAUGGCCUACCAAGGCGACGACGGGUAGCCGGCCUGAGAGGGUGACCGGCCACACUGGGACUGAGAUACGGCCCAGACUCCUACGGGAGGCAGCAGUGGGGAAGAUUGCACAAUGGGCGCAAGCCUGAUGCAGCGACGCCGCGUGAGGGAUGACGGCCUUCGGGUUGUAAACCUCUUUCAGCUCCGACGAAGCGCAAGUGACGGUAGGAGUAGAAGAAGGACCGGCCAACUACGUGCCAGCCGCCGCCGGUA